UCAUGCCAAUGGCAUUGCCCGGUAGCUAAGUGCGGAACAGAUAAGCGCUGAAAGCAUCUAAGCGCGAAACUGGCCUCUAGAUGAGUCUUCCCUGGGUCUGAGAGGUCCCUGAAGGCACGUUUAAGACGAAGACGUAGAUAGGCUGGCUGUGUAAGAGCAGUGAUGCUUUGAGCUAACCAGUACUAGUGAU
rnacentral:rRNA from 1 species